rnacentral:rRNA from 1 species
GACGAACGCUGGCGGCGUGCUUAACACAUGCAAGUCGAACGGUAAGGCCCUUCGGGGUACACGAGUGGCGAACGGGUGAGUAACACGUGGGUGAUCUGCCCUGCACUUCGGGAUAAGCCUGGGAAACUGGGUCUAAUACCGGAUAGGACCACUGCCUGCAUGGGUGGGGGUGGAAAGCUUUUGCGGUGUGGGAUGGGCCCGCGGCCUAUCAGCUUGUUGGUGGGGGGAUGGCCUACCAAGGCGACGACGGGUAGCCGGCCUGAGAGGGUGACCGGCCACACUAGGACUGAGAUACGGCCCAGACUCCUACGGGAGGCAGCAGGGGGGAAUAUUGCACAAUGGGCGCAAGCCUGAGGCAGCGACGCCGCGUGAGGGAUGACGGCCUUCGGGUUGUAAACCUCUUUCAGCACCGACGAAGCGCAAGUGACGGUAGGUGCAGAAGAAGGACCGGCCAACUACGUGCCAGCCGCCGCGGUAAGAC